AUUGAACGCUGGCGGCAGGCCUAACACAUGCAAGUCGAACGAGUGGCGGACGGGUGAGUAAUGUCUGGGAAACUGUCUGAUGGAGGGGGAUAACCACUGGAAACGGUAGCUAAUACCGCAUACCCUCAGAUGUGCCCAGAUGGGUUUGGCUUGUUGGUGGGGUAACGGCUCACCAAGGCGACGAUCCCUAGCUGGUCUGAGAGGAUGACCAGCCACACUGGAACUGAGACACGGUCCAGACUCCUACGGGAGGCAGCAGUGGGGAAUAUUGCACAAUGGGCGCAAGCCUGAUGCAGCCAUGCCGCGUGUAUGAAGAAGGCCUUCGGGUUGUAAAGUACUUUCAGCGGGGAGGCGUUACCCGCAGAAGAAGCACCGGCUAACUCCGUGCCAGCAGCCGCGGUAAUUC
rnacentral:rRNA from 1 species